rnacentral:tRNA from 1 species
GAGCCGGUAGCUCAGUCGGUAGAGCAACGGACUUUUAAUCCGUGGGUCGUGGGUUCGAGUCCCACUCGGCUCA